AGCCGCGGUAAUUCCAGCUCCAAUAGCGUAUAUUAAAGUUGUUGCAGUUAAAAAGCUCGUAGUUGGAUUUCUGUUAAUAAUUUAUAUAUAAUAUUUAACAUAUUUAUAUAAUAUUAACAUAAUUCAUAUUACUAUUUAUAGUAUAUGAAACUUUACUUUGAGAAUAUUAGAGUGCUUAAAGCAGGCUUUUGCCUUGAAUACUAGAGCAUGGAAUAAUAUUAAAGAUUUUUAUCUUUCUUAUUGGUUCUAAGAUAGAAAUAAUGAUUAAUAGGGACAGUUGGGGGCAUUUGUAUUUAACAGUUAGAGGUGAAAUUCUUAGAUUUGUUAAAGACAAACUAAUGCGAAAGCAUUUGCCAAGGAUGUUUUCAUUAAUCAAGGACGAAAGUUAGGGGAUCGAAGACGAUCAGAUACCGUCGUAGUCUUAACCAUAAACCAUGCCA
rnacentral:rRNA from 1 species